rnacentral:RNase_P_RNA from 1 species
UUGGGCAAGUGGAUAGUCGCUUCGUCUUUGUGACGGAGAGGAAAGUCCGGACAUCUCUUAGUUUUUACUAGGAAAAGUGACAGUCGUUAACAGCGACCAGGGGCAACCCUAGGGAAAGUGCCGCAGAGACUAUACUAAUCUGCCUUAGGCAGAUGAAAUGUGAAAAGUAGGUUGGUGUUUUUUAUUCUUAAGAUAAAAAGCUACAACUUUCGUCCUCUGGUGACAGAGUGUACGUGGUAAACCCUGUCUGAUGCAAGAUCGUGCCCCGAUGUACUUUGGGGAGAAUCGCUAGAGGUCAAUAGCAAUAUUGAUCCCAGAUAGAUGACUAUCAUUAGACUUGUUGCAUAAUAGGCUAUUACUGCAAUCUCCAUAUUUUGGUAAAUUUCUCUGUAAAAUUGUUGGCCUAUGCUAAGGCAUAAGCAAAAAAUUUUACAGAGAAAUUUCCUCAAAAUCUGGAAAUUUCGUAACAUAGCCUAUUAUGCAACAAGUCUAUUAGACAAAAUCCGGCUUAUAGCUUGCCUGAACUA